rfam:Schistosoma margrebowiei strain Zambia genome assembly, scaffold: SMRZ_scaffold0000025
AUCCAACUGAUGAGUCCCAAAUAGGACGAAACGCACGUUCUGAAU